rnacentral:rRNA from 1 species
AGAGUUUGAUCCUGGCUCAGGAUGAACGCUAGCGGCAGGCCUAAUACAUGCAAGUCGAACGGCAGCAGAACCAGCAAUGGUUCUGCGAGAGUGGCGAACGGGUGCGUAACGCGUAUGCAACCUACCUCCAACUGGGGAAUAGCCCUGGGAAACCGGGAUUAAUACCGCAUAAGAUGGUAGAACCGCAUGGUUCAGCCAUUAAAGUUUUGCGGUUGGAGAUGGGCAUGCGUGCCAUUAGCUAGUUGGCGGGGUAAUAGCCCACCAAGGCGACGAUGGCUAGGGGUUCUGAGAGGAUGAUCCCCCACACUGGUACUGAGACACGGACCAGACUCCUACGGGAGGCAGCAGUAGGGAAUAUUGGUCAAUGGACGAAAGUCUGAACCAGCCAUGCCGCGUGCAGGAGGAAGGCGCUCUGCGUUGUAAACUGCUUUUGUACGGGAAGAAUAUUUCGUUUGCGAACGAAUUUGACGGUACCGUAAGAAUAAGGAUCGGCUAACUACGUGCCAGCAGCCGCGGUAAUACGUAGGAUCCAAGCGUUGUCCGGAUUUAUUGGGUUUAAAGGGUGCGCAGGCGGCCUGAUAAGUCAGUGGUGAAAGCCCGUUGCUUAACAACGGAAUUGCCAUUGAUACUGUCGGGCUUGAGUACAGUUGAGGUUGGCGGAAUGUAUCAUGUAGCGGUGAAAUGCUUAGAUAUGAUACAGAACACCGAUUGCGAAGGCAGCUGACUAAGCUGUUACUGACGCUCAGGCACGAAAGCGUGGGGAUCAAACAGGAUUAGAUACCCUGGUAGUCCACGCU